rnacentral:misc_RNA from 1 species
AGAGAGAGAGAGAGAGAGAGAGUGUGAUAGUCCAUGGUCCAUUCUUGACCAGCCACAUUUCCUCUUUCUUGUUCUUGUUUUUCUCUUUCUACCUAUCUAAUCUCCAUUAGUUUUAAUCAUUAUUUCCUCAUUUUUAUGAUUUUAUCCUUGCUUUUGUCAACUGGGGGAACAGGGAACUGGAACUACACAAAGAGAGUAGGUAGAGAGAGAGAGAGAGGGGGGUAGAGAGAAUACUGACUGGUCACCAAUAAUUUUGUAGAAGAGGAGAGAAUCAAAAGAAAAAGAAGGGUUUUUAAUCCAGCUGAGAGUUGGUGACUCCUACCCUUCUCGUUAUGUUUCCUAUUUGGAGUGAAACAGAGAGAGAAGCGCACAUUUGAUAUGAGGAAGAGAAGAUUUGAAUCUGUUAUUCAGUUCCCAUAAGCCAUGUUGGAUCAGCGAAUUGUAGUAGCAUUCGCUUUUCUGCUAUUGCUGUUGAAGUUUCAGCCUGCAUUUCAGCAAGUGGAGACACUGAGUUCGCCAUUUGAACGAGGCGCUCUACUUCAACUCAGAUCCUCUUUGGGUAUAAGAAGCAAGGAGUGGCCUAGAAAAGCAAAUCCUUGCCUGAAUUGGACGGGUAUCACGUGCCAGAACGGGAGUGUUUCUGGGAUUAACAUUUCUGGUUUUAGAAGGACAAGGCUAGGUAAACAGAACCCGCAAUUUUCUGUGGAUGCGCUCGCCAAUCUCACCCACUUGACUACUCUUAACGCUUCUAGAUUCUUGCUUCCUGGUUCCAUCCCAGAUUGGUUUGGUCAAAGCCUUGGUUCACUUCAACUUCUUGAUCUUCGUUUUUGCGGUAUAAGCAAUGCUAUUCCUGCGACUUUAGGGAAUUUAACUAAUAUAACCAGUCUUUAUUUGUCUGGUAAUAAUUUAACGGGUGCAAUUCCCUUCAGUUUGGGUCAAUUGGUUUUGCUUUCGGUUCUUGAUCUUUCGAAGAAUUCGCUUACGGGAUCUAUUCCUGUGUCGUUUGCUUCGCUUGGGAAUUUGACAAGGCUUGAUAUUUCUUCCAAUUUCUUGUUUGGGCCGAUUCCUCCUGGCAUUGGGAUGCUUUUGAAGCUUCAAUAUUUGAAUCUUUCAAGUAACCAGUUAUCAUCUUCAAUACCUGCUCAGCUUGGGGACCUUGGUAUGUUGGUUGACCUUGAUUUCAGUUUCAAUUCAUUGUCUGGGUCAGUGCCAGCAGACUUGAGAGGGUUGAGGAAUUUGAGGAGAAUGCUGAUUGGCAACAAUACUUUCUCUGGGUCCUUGCCAGUCAACUUGCUUCCUUCUUCAAGUCAAUUGCAGUUUGUGGUUUUGAAGGGCAAUGGUUUUGCUGGUGCUCUCCCUGAUAUGCUAUGGAUAAUGCCCGGAUUGCGCCUUCUUGAUAUCUCUGCCAACAAUUUCUCUGGUUUCUUGCCGAAUACUACCUUGAAUGCUAAUGCCAUUUCUGCGGUACUGAAUCUAUCUGGGAAUUCGUUUUAUGGAAUUCUCAAACCUAUACUGAGAAGGUUCCGUUAUGUUGAUCUGUCUGGUAAUUAUUUCGAAGGCAGGGUUCCAGAUUAUGUGCCCAACAAUGCUUCUCUUGUUAGCAAUUGUCUCCAAAAUGUGUCAAAUCAGAGAAGUUUGCAGGAUUGUGCAUCCUUUUAUGCUGAAAGGGGCCUGACUUUUGACAAUUUUGGACUCCCAAAUUCUACACAACCUCCUUCCGGAGAGACUCGAGGGAAGAGCAACAAAAAGGUUAUCAUAUUAGCAAGCGUUCUGGGUGGCGUUGGGGUUAUUGCUCUUUUGACAUUUCUAGUAGUGCUGCUGCUCAUUUGCAUCCGUAGGAGGAGCACUACAAAUCAAAGAGGUGUUGGAGUUGGGCCAGUUCCUACUAGGACCAGUCCUCCGCCUCCUGAAGUAUCAAUUAACUUUUCAAGUUUAGGGGACACAUUCACAUAUCAGCAGCUCCUUCAAGCCACUGCUGACUUCAGUGAUGCAAACCUUAUCAAACAUGGCCACUCAGGGGAUCUCUAUAGGGGUAUCUUGGAAAAUGGGAUCUCUGUGGUCAUAAAAAGAGUAGAUGUGCAGUCCAUUAAGAAAGAGGCUUACUUACUGGAAUUGGACUUAUUCAGUAAAGUUUCAAAUCCUAGAUUGGUUCCCCUCUUGGGACAUUGCUUGGAGAAUGAGAACGAGAAGUUCCUGGUUUACAAAUAUAUGCCAAAUGGAGAUUUGUCAAGUUCCUUGUAUAGGAAAACCAGUUCAGAAGAUAAUAGUUUACAGUCAUUAGAUUGGAUUACACGAUUGAAGAUUGCGAUAGGAGCAGCAGAAGGUCUAUCUUGUCUGCAUCAUGAGUGCACACCGCCCUUCGUACACAGAGAUGUUCAAGCAAGCAGUAUACUCCUUGAUGAUAAAUUUGAAGUACGGCUUGGGAGCCUAAGUGAAGUUUGUCCUCAAGAAGGGGAUGCUCAUCAAAGCAGGAUUACCAGGUUGCUGCGAUUGCCACAGUCAUCGGAACAAGGCACUUCUGGUUCAGUGACAGCAACAUGUGCCUAUGAUGUUUACUGCUUUGGGAAGGUAUUGCUUGAGCUGGUAACUGGAAAGCUGGGCAUGAGUGCAUCUAGUGAAGCCCAGCUGAAAGAAUGGUUAGACCAGAUGCUACCAUACAUCAGCAUUUAUGACAAGGAACUUGUGACAAAAAUUGUGGAUCCAUCUUUGAUCAUUGAUGAAGAUUUGUUGGAAGAAGUCUGGGCUAUGGCCAUUGUUGCCAGGUCCUGCCUCAAUCCCAAGCCUUCUAGGCGACCACUCAUGAGAUACAUCCUCAAGGCGUUGGAAAAUCCAUUAAAGGUAGUAAGGGAAGAAAACUCCAGUUCUGCAAGGCUUAGAACAACAUCUUCCAGAGGCUCUUGGAAUGCUGCUCUAUUUGGUAGUUGGCGUAGCUCAUCUGAUGUGGCAGUGAUUCCUGCAGGCUCCAGUACUAUACCAGAAGGAGGAAGUAGUUUUAAACAUUCAGGAACCUCAAAUUCACAGGGAAGUGGCCAAAAUGGUGGUGGUGAACAUUCAUCCUCGCAUAGACGGCAAUCCAGGGAGAUUUUCCCUGAACCAUCAUCUGAUGUGCGAGAUGUAGAGAGACUAGGUCAGGAAUAGCAGAGAUGUUGAUUGUUCUUGAUUCUUUGUUAAUAAUACAGCAGGCUUCCCAUUCGAGUGCCUGCAUGUUAUUGUUGGUACCCCAGUUUGUUGCCCAUGUUUUUGCAGUUGGUCAAGGUCUGGAGACAUUUUUGUAUAUCAGCGGGGGGUGUUUAAAAAGGUGCAUGUCUUCUGUGAAGAUUUUGUAUCAGGGCAGCAGUGUUAGGUAGUGGAUAAAAUUGGAUUGGGAAAGAUUUUGUAAGAAAAUGGGGUCGCUAAUUGCAGUAAUGGUGAUCAUUCGUUUGAAAGCUUGUUUUAACAAGCAUCCAUUUAUAUCUGUAACUGAUCUUUGCUUGUGGUCUUUUUUUUGUUGCCAUGUAAAGUGUAAUUGUCAAGGAUUUUAUCAUUCAAAUGAGGGUAUCAUUGUCAGAAACAUUGACAAGAAAAAAAAAAAAUUCACAGAG